AUUGAACGCUGGCGGCGUGCCUAAUACAUGCAAGUCGAACGAGUGGCGAACGGGUGAGUAAUGUAUCGGAACGUGCCCGAUAGAGGGGGAUAACUACUGGAAACGGUGGCUAAUACCGCAUACUAUCGGAUGAACCCAUAUGGGAUUAGCUAGUAGGUGGGGUAAAGGCUCACCUAGGCGACGAUCUCUAGCUGGUCUGAGAGGAUGAUCAGCCACACUGGGACUGAGACACGGCCCAGACUCCUACGGGAGGCAGCAGUGGGGAAUAUUGCACAAUGGGCGCAAGCCUGAUGCAGCCAUGCCGCGUGUAUGAAGAAGGCCUUAGGGUUGUAAAGUACUUUCAGCGGGGAGGCGUUACCCGCAGAAGAAGCACCGGCUAACUCCGUGCCAGCAGCCGCGGUAAUUC
rnacentral:rRNA from 1 species